ensembl:lncRNA
GAGUGAAAGAUUGGGUCCUCCCCUAAGGUUAGUGAAUGAGUGAAGAGUUGGGUCCUCCUCAAGGUUAGUGAAGGAGUGAAGGGUUCGGUCCUCCCCUCGGUUAGUGAAGGAUUGGAGGGUUGGGUCCUCCUCUAGUAUAGUGAAGGAGUGGAGGUUUGGGUACUUCCCUUGGUUAGUGAAGGACUGGAGGGUUGAGUCCUCCUCUAGAUUAGUGACUAAGUGAAGGGUUGGGUCCUCCUCUAGAUUACUGAAGGAGUGAAAGGUUGGGUCCUCCUCUAGAUUAGUAAAGGAGUGAAGGGUUGGAUCCUCCUCUAGGUUACUGAAGGAGCGGAGGGUUGGGUCCUCCUCUAGAUUAGUGAAAGAGGGGAGGGUUGGGUCCUCUAGAUUAGUGAAGGACUGAAAGAUUGGGUCCUCCCCUAAGGUUAGUGAAUGAGUGAAGGGUUGGGUCCUCCUCAAGGUUAGUGAAGGAGUGAAGGGUUGGGUCCUCUAAAUUAGUGAAGGAGUGAAGGGUUGGGUCCUCCUCUAGAUUAGUGAAGGAGUGAACUGUUGGAUCCUCCUCUAGGUUAGUGAAAGAGUGGAGGGUUGGGUCCUUCUCUAGGUUAGUGAAGGUUUGGGUCCUUCCCUUGGUUAGUGAAGGAGUGGAGGGUUGGGUUCUCCUCUAGUUUAGUGAAGGAGUGCAGGGUUCGGUCCUCUAGGAUAGUGAAGGAGUGGAGGGUUGGGUCCUCCUCUGGGUUAGUGAAGGAGUGGAGGGUCAGGUCCUCCUCUAGAUUAUUUAAGGAGUGGAGGGAUGGGUCCUCCUCUAUAUUAGUGAAAGAGUGGAGGGUUGGGUCCUUCCCUAGGUUAGUGAAGGAAUGGAGGGUUGGGUUCUCCUCUAGAUUAGUGAAGGAGUGGAGGGUUGGGUCCUCCUCUAGGUUAGUAAAGGAGUGGAGGGUUGGGUCCUUCCCUCGGUUAGUGAAGGAGUGAAUGGUUGGGUCUUCCUCUACCUUCGCGAAGGUGUGGAGGGUUUGGUCCUCCUCUAGGUUAGGGAAGGGUUGGGUCCUCCUCUACCUUCGCGAAGGUGUGGAGGGUUUGGUCCUCCUCUAGGUUAGUGAAGGAUUGGAGGGUUGGGUCCUCUAAAUUAGUGAAGGAGUGAAGGGUUGGGUUCUCCUCUAGAUUAGUGAAGGAGUGGAGGGUUGGGUCCUCCUCUAGGUUAGUGAAAGAGUGGAGGGUUGGGUCCUCCUCUAGGUUAGUGAAAGA